UGCCUUGGCUUUCAGUCUAGGGUAAGAUGGAAACUGAGUAGCCCACAGCACCUGCUAAUGGAUUUUAUUUUUCUUUCUACUUUCAUAGUCUUGUCAUCUAUGCAGGAGCUGAAGUGAUCCCAAGUUGAUCCACUUGGGAGAAUCUGCGGAGUGACGCGCUCCUCUGGUUCCGGAAGACUGGCCACUCGGUUAGGUUGUAAAGAAGUCCCAAGAACUACAAAGUUCGGAUUUCAACCCAGCUGCACAUUAGAACCACCUGGCGGGCUCUUAAGAAAUACUAAUGCCCAGACCCGCCCAGACCCAUUGAACCAGAAUCUCUGAAGGUGAGACCAAGUCGUCAGUAACUUUAAAAAGUUUUUGAGAGUCACCUCAGAAGAUGCAGCCCAGGCUGGGAGACACUGGUAUAUAAAGCAGAGUGGGGAGAGUGCAAAACACAGUGUUACGGAGGCGGAAGUCAAACAGGGCACCCUGGCUCCCGGUGGCUGUGGAAUCCAGAGACACUUCCUAGUGUACUCCUUUAUGUUUCCAACUAAUGUUCUCAAGCAGUCUCCUAAAAUUCCAUCAGCUGGACCUCCCCGAUUGUCCCACUCACUCCUGCUAUCCUCCUUCCCUGACGUUCCUGAAUCCCCUCCCUCUGCACAUUCCCUUCCCCACUUAAGAAACAAAAGUGAAACACAGGUCGCAUUCUUUACCCCACUGUGCAUGGAUUUACUGGUGCUCAAGAGCUCCCUUGCACCUUCUGCCCUGCAAUGUGACUCUAGUGAAACUGAUAAAUUAUGAGGAGGGGCUACUGGGUUCCCUAGCCCCAAAUAAAUGGAUCCAACUUUACCAGCCCUUGAUUCAGAAUAUGGAUUUACUUUGAACUGUUGCUGGCUUUGCAGAACUUCGAGACAGUAAGAACACCUCCCAGGGGAACCCCCACUGCCCAGGGGUUAUAAGAGGUUAGCAAUGGCACUUCCUGCCACGAAUCUAAGCUUCCAAAGGCUUGCCUGGCCCUUGGAGAGCACUGGGAGAGUUGAGAGAAAACUUUUCCCCAGUCCUGAAUCUGAGAAGCUGCUAGAAAGUAGCCAGGAUCCUUCUACAAUCUCCCCCUUUCAGGCUGCAAGUGAAGGACCAUGAAACUGCGUAAUAUGUGCUGAGACAAGCCAGGAAUGGCACUGUUCACUACAGGACAUGGCCCAGCCCGUGAAUCAGGCAAGAGAGGGUGGUCUUUCUAGCAGGAGAUAGGGAGAGGGUUGUGUGUGCUGCGUGAAGGGGAGGGCACAGCCUGAGAAGAGCGGGCAGAGGAUGGGAAACGUCUUAGCAUCCCAGCUUGUUUCCUAGGUGAGAAUUUGAAACACCUGGUUAAGCAUGGCCAAUCCCACUCAUAGGGGAGAAUGGUCUGAACUGAGGUAUCACAGACCUCGAACUUCAGUAACAAAGGGAAACACGUGACUGUCAGCAAAUGUUGACUGGGCCUGACACUGCGAUGCGAGAUAAAAUGGUCACAGUACCAGGGGCCCUUUUCAGUGAAAGGAGGGACUUCUUUCAUCAUUCCUCCUUCACCUUAGCCUCCCUCAUGCUCCAUCUCAGGUCCAAAAAGGAUCCUUUAGCCACCAUUGGUCACUAAAGGAAAACAGGAUGAAGCUAACACCCAGGAACUAAACAUGCUUUUCUUCAGAUCCUUGUUCUCCCAGUGUUUGGUGGUUCUGCCCACCUGGGC
rnacentral:lncRNA from 10 species